GCAAGGGGGCGGGAUUUGAUGAGAAAGUAUAUCCCGUGAGUGGGGAAUUUGACAAUCAGUACAGUCCCGGGGGCAGGGGUAUUUGACAAAUUUUUAAAAUUGUUGUCAUUUUGCAUAUAUAAUGAGCAGGGACACAGUGGGAUCUCCGGAACAUCUGGGACAAAUUUUGCCACCAAAUCAUGUGUUGUCAGUUCUGGAAAAUGGCGGGGAAUACUGAAUACGAUAUAAACUGUUGAUUUUUCUCAUUUUAAUAUUCAUGAAUUGUACUUCUCUUGAAGCAAUAUAAAUAAUAGAAUACGAACAUUUUUUUGUCAAGAUGUGGAUAUUAUGAUAUUAACCACUUUGUUUAAUUUAUUUCAAAAAUUAAAUUGUAUUUAUGUUUCACGUACCGUACGUACGGUAAAUUAUAUAUUCAACAUGAACAAGUGUUUUCUCUCCGAUAUACGGACAAGCAGGUUGAAUAUAUGAGGCAAUUGUCCAUAUUUAGAAAUCAUAGGAAAAACCUUUGCAAUUGUUGGAUAUGCCUUCUCAAACAAAUCCAUACUUCAAAAGAAAAU